GGGUUUUUUUUUAGAUGGCUUUGCUAGUUUUCUAGCGAAUGGUUCAUUCUUUUUUACUGUGAACUGUUUUAAUUUUUCAGCGUCUGAGGAAUGUCUUUUAGCCAUAGGGAUAGGCUACUAGAAUGUUAACCGAGCUGAAAGUCAGGCUUAGGCCUGGUAUCCUAUUAAUUAUUUACCAAAAGAAUUCAGUAUUAUAAUUGUAACAUAAGCGUAAAAAACUUAUAAAACAACUUUUAACAACGGAUCUCUUGGUUCUCGCAUCGAUGAAGAACGUAGCAAAGUGCGAUAACUAGUGUGAAUUGCAUAUUCAGUGAAUCAUCGAGUCUUUGAACGCAACUUGCGCUCAAUGGUAUUCCAUUGAGCACGCCUGUUUCAGUAUCAAAAACACCCCACAUUCAUAAUUUUGUUGUGAAUGGAAAUGAGAGUUUCGGCUUUAUUGCUGAAUUCUUUAAAAUUAUUAGGCCUGAACUAUUGUUCUUUCUGCCUGAACAUUUUUUUAAUAUAAAGGAAUGCUCUAGUAAAAAGACUAUCUCUGGGGCCUCCCAAAUAAAUCAUUCUUAAAUUUGAUCUGAAAUCAGGCGGGAUUACCCGCUGAACUUAAGCAUAUCAAUAAGCGGAGGAA
rnacentral:rRNA from 1 species